AAUUCCCAGGAGGCCGAGCGAAGCAUCUCGCGCGGCGUGGCGGGAGUGCCCUCGGAGGCUACGCUUUCUUCGGCGUGUAGAGGGAGCUUUCCCGCGGAUGGGUAUGAUGGUGAUCGUUGGUGGAGAACUUCGUUGCCACAGAAAGGCCUAGAGGCUGCCGCAACAGAUUCUGAACAACAAUUUUGAACUUAGAGCUUCGAAGAUGGUAGAGGCCCAGACUAUUCUAAAGCAAUCUGUGUAGUAGAAUGAGCAAUAGGAAGAUCCAUGUCUUGUGGGCAAAGGACCCAAAGAAAAUGAAAGGACACACCACGCAGAGCUGCUGUAUUCCUGAGAAAAAGGAAGAACUGGGCUACAAUGGAAAGAAGACCACUGCUGUAGCUCCAGCCUUGACUGGGCAUGGCAAUUUGCCUAUAAUCCCAGCACUCAAGAGACCUGGCCAGGACAACUGUGAGUUCGAGACCAGCCUGAGCCACACAAUGGGGAGACUCAUCUCAGUUGAACUAGUUUACUUAUUCACAGUGAUAAUGGUGCUGUGGAAAGAUAUAUUUGCUCACACAGGCCUAUUUCAGGCUUUUGAAAAGUAAAAAAAAAGUAUCCCCAACCCAGAAGAGAAGUGGUAACUUGGGGAAAGGAGUGACAGUGAGGUCAACAGAG
rnacentral:sRNA from 1 species